rnacentral:rRNA from 1 species
AGCGAACGCUGGCGGCAGGCCUAACACAUGCAAGUCGAACGAACCUUUCGGGGUUAGUGGCGGACGGGUGAGUAACACGUGGGAACGUGCCUUUAGGUUCGGAAUAACUCAGGGAAACUUGUGCUAAUACCGAAUGUGCCCUUCGGGGGAAAGAUUAAUCGCCUUUAGAGCGGCCCGCGUCUGAUUAGCUAGUUGGGUGAGGUAAUGGCUCACCAAGGCGACGAUCAGUAGCUGGUCUGAGAGGAUGAUCAGCCACAUUGGGACUGAGACACGGCCCAAACUCCUACGGGAGGCAGCAGUGGGGAAUCUUGCGCAAUGGGCGAAAGCCUGACGCAGCCAUGCCGCGUGAAUGAUGAAGGUCUUAGGAUUGUAAAAUUCUUUCAACGGGGACGAUAAUGACGGUACCCGGAGAAGAAGCCCCGGCUAACUUCGUG